CCUGCAUUGCAACCAAUUAUAAAUAAAGAGUAUGCAUACAUAAUUACGAUCCAACUUUUCAAAGUAUUACGCAACAUGUGGUUUUGGUACUUUAUUUAAAUCUAAUCACAGUAUUAACUUAUAGGUGUAGACAACUAUUUUAUAGACUAUAUUCGAGAAUUAAAAUGAAAAACUUUCCUCACAAAACUGAAACUAAUUACUCGAGUAUAUAUAUUACAUUAACAUUUUGUAAACUAGGCGAUCUAUGUUUUUUUUACUAUAACCUAAAUCAUUUUCAAGGUAUAGUUUGGUGUCAUCAUGUAAGAAAGAUUAUCUAGACAAAAAAAGAUUUGACAGUGAUACCUUUUGAGUGUGAUUAUUAAGCCAUUCAACAGCAAAUUUGAUGGAUCUACAUUUAUUCUUAUCAUUAAUGGGCCAAUAGUGUUGGAGAGGUUGAAGAGUUCUUGAGAAGAAAUCAUAGUAAUAAGGUUUAACCAUCAAUGUGACUGAGUCACACGCUAAUAUGUAUUUCUCACUCACUGACCAUCCAUACCCUUCUAUAUAUAUCUUGUACCUGCACAGCUUAUUAUCCCAGUAAUUAAAUUCAACAUAUAUAUAAACCUUAAAUUAGACAUUGGUACUAUAUGAGUCAAAAAGUAUAGACUAGUAGUACUAGUCUAGUACUAACCUGUAAGUGCAUUGAUCUGCUACAUUUGAAUUCUCGAAUCCCUUUUGCCCUUCUGAUAUCCAAUCCUGUGUAAAUACAAAUAAAAAAUUGCUCACAAAUUCAUUUUUAUAUACCUCAUGGAAAGAUUAAUAGAUGAAAUAUGGUUGUACGUACGAACAUAAGCUUAUAGAAGCAUAUAUAUAUAUAUAAAUAUAUAUACGUAUAUAUGUAUACCUGAAUGAAAAUUCUAGCAUUCCAAUCAUGUUGUGAGGAUAAAUUGCAAGUAAGAAGAUCUUCUCUUGAAGGAGAUGCAACAAAAGGAUUCCCUUUCCAAUAUGCAUAAGAUUCUCUCUCCAUAAACUUCUUCUUCUUCUUUCCUUCUUCCAUUUCUUUCAACACUUUGCUCCAUGGUUUUAUGUUUAUCUCUUGCCUUCAUCCACCAAUUUAAUCCAAUUAAAUUUUAUUUUUUUAAUUUGAAAUUUAUUAAAUUUUCAACUAUGCAAAUAAAUCAUCAGUCGCAAACAAAUAUGAUAUUCGAUACAAAAAAAUAUUUCAAAGUUUAAUAUGGAAUUACCAACGAGAUUUUAGAACUAUUCACUUCAUGUUCAACUAGAACUGUCCCAUCUUUUAACUAUUCACAUGAAAUUGAUCAUCGUCAAACUAUAAUCAUAUCGCAAUAGCCUCACAUGCCCUCUUUAGGCAUGGGAUUAUUGUCUGCUCCGGAUUCGCUCCGAAAAUAAAAUAUCCAAAAUGUUUGAAUCCGAAUACAGAUAGUAAAAUCUUAGAUCCGUUAAAACUGAAUCCGCAUCCAGAUAUCUUUAUUUUUAUAUCCGGAUCUGUAUUUUUAAAAUAUAUUAAUUUUUAUAUCUGAUAUUUUAAUAUUUAUACAUAAAUUAGUUUUAUAAUAUUAUAUUUUAAUUUUAAAAAUAUUAUACAUAUAUAUAUAUAUUUAUAAAUCUUAAAUAAAUAUUUGAUUUAAGUAUUAUUUAAAAAUUAGUAAUUUAUAAAAAAACAAAAAAAUUAAUUAUUUUUUUGGAUCCGGAUCCGGAUAUCCACGGGUAAUGUAACAUCUAGACGGAUAUCCGGAUUUCGAAUAUCGAAUAUCCGGAAACCACGAAUCCGGAUCAAGAUAUUAAAAUUAACGAAUCCGACAAAUCUGGAUCCAGUACCCUAAAUUUCUGGGAUAUCCGGAUCCGUCCCAUGCUUAGCGAUCUUAAUCUCCAAGAACAGCUAAAUUCAUGAACUAGAAUUAUAUAGCAAAACAUAAAUCCAAUUUUGUAAAUAUCAUAAUGUACUACAUAUAAAUAAAGGCUAUUAACACUAUCUAUUAGUUAAGCAGGUUUCAAUGUGGACUCGAUUUAGGUUUAGGAAAUUGGUCAACCCAUGCUAAGAAUAAAUGAUAUAUUUCUCAAAAUAUCAUAAAUCUAACGUAAUCCGAUAAAUAAAAGCUAAAAUAAAAUCAUAUCAAACUGUUUGAUAGUAUCAUUUUAUUGAACGUUUUUCCAGUAAGCAUGCUCCCAUUUCUCAACUUGCCGGAUGAGAUUCAAUUUCUUCCUAUGGAACUUCUCGAGACCGUUGGGAUCAAAAGGAGGAGGUAGUGAACAUGGGCCUGAAAUGUGAGGUUCAUCGACUAAAGAGCCCAUCAAAAACCUCUUAUUAGUCCCAUUCGCAUUUCCAGAAGGGCACACCAUCGCUUCCGUGCAGAUUUCAACACUGUUUUGGGAAACUUGAGGCUUGAACUUAAGAAGCUUUGAGUAUUCAUUCAGCAAAUGGAACAUGUAAUCAUACACGUUUUCCAUUGAUAGAUCUCUUUGCAUGAACUCACUUGCUCCCCUUCCAAUCUCUUGAGCCUGCAUUGCAACCAAUUAUAAAUAAAGAGUAUGCAUACAUAAUUACGAUCCAACUUUUCAAAGUAUUACGCAACAUGUGGUUUUGGUACUUUAUUUAAAUCUAAUCACAGUAUUAACUUAUAGGUGUAGACAACUAUUUUAUAGACUAUAUUCGAGAAUUAAAAUGAAAAACUUUCCUCACAAAACUGAAACUAAUUACUCGAGUAUAUAUAUUACAUUAACAUUUUGUAAACUAGGCGAUCUAUGUUUUUUUUACUAUAACCUAAAUCAUUUUCAAGGUAUAGUUUGGUGUCAUCAUGUAAGAAAGAUUAUCUAGACAAAAAAAGAUUUGACAGUGAUACCUUUUGAGUGUGAUUAUUAAGCCAUUCAACAGCAAAUUUGAUGGAUCUACAUUUAUUCUUAUCAUUAAUGGGCCAAUAGUGUUGGAGAGGUUGAAGAGUUCUUGAGAAGAAAUCAUAGUAAUAAGGUUUAACCAUCAAUGUGACUGAGUCACACGCUAAUAUGUAUUUCUCACUCACUGACCAUCCAUACCCUUCUAUAUAUAUCUUGUACCUGCACAGCUUAUUAUCCCAGUAAUUAAAUUCAACAUAU
rnacentral:lncRNA from 1 species